GAACUGUCCUGUAUUUGGAAGGUUUUACCCUGGCCUUCUGCUUCUGGCAGCUUUCCCACACUCCUUCUCAGUUUUGCUCAUACCUUGGACUCCAGGCAUUGGCAGCUGCAGUGUGUGUGUUACUACUGCUAUUGGGGCUUUCAUUUCCUGCCCCUUCUUUUGGGAACAGUCUAUGGGUGUUGUUGAAGUUCCUUUCAGCAGCCAGUAGAGUCACUGCCAGGCAGCCCGGCACACUCCCACAAACCUGCUUUGGCAUUCAUUUCAGCCUGUUGCUGGUUACAUAGUAAGUAUUGAUUGCCUUGCCUUUGACCAUCUACUGCCUCCCUCUUUAGAGUUAACUCUUAUUUGUGAAGAAAUGGUGUGCUCGCCAACAUUUUUAGGAUGCUUAGUGUCUGGUAGCUACUGUGCCAAACCAUUUCUUGGUGCUUACCAUGCCCUACUGUGAGCAAUGACACCUGGGUGCCCAUCAGUGCUCCUUAUCUCUUGCAGAUGAGUCCACUGUGUACAGAGGCACCAUGGGAGUUGUCAUUGUCAGGAACAUUCUACACCCCAGGAAUCUUGAGGUAAGAUUUCUGGUCUCUUGUAUCGGAUACAGCCCUGUUCCCAGGGGCUCUGGGUGAUGAUGUAGGGGAGCUGAGAGGUGAGAUAAAGGUGGUACCAUGGGUCCCCAAAUCUACCACCCAACCAACCAAUUCUAGAUCACACCUGACCCUUCACAUACCUUCAGUGGCUGCUGCAGGGGAAAGCCUCCAAGGUCCCACUUGUGGAAUGAGAGGUCUCUGGGACAUCUGCCCUCUCUACCUGGGAACCAGCAAUAGCAUACUGUAAUGAUAAAUGGGUGGCAUGAGAAUCCCUUCUGCCGCUGUCUCAGGCACUGUACCACUGAGCUAUACCUCCAUCCCUUUUUAAUUUUGAGAUAGAGACUUACUAAGUUGCUAAGGCUGGCCUUGAACUUAGGAUCCUCCUUGCCCCAGCCUUCCAAAUUGCUAGGAUUACAGGCAUGCAUCUCUGCAUCAAACAGAACCUAAUUUUUUUUAUUUGAAAAAAUGAAGUGGUGACAGAGUUGACUUUUGUUGUACUUGAAACCCCAUGAUUCUUACCAUUACAACCCUAACAUUUUUCCACUGUUUAUGUCCAAAGUGACUUCUCUUUGAUUCUCCUGGGCAAGGAGUUUGUAUGGGGUUUCUCUAGAAAAGGAGGGUCAUGGUUGGUUCCUGUGCAUGGCUGGCUGGGCUGUUUUCAUGAAUUUUCCCUGUACUAUGCCAUAGGCUACUGGCAUCUGCUUCUCUUCCUGGACCUGUCUCUGCCUGUGUGUGUACCUGCAUUCAAAAGUGAUCACGGGCUGCCUGUGCUCUGAUCAUCCAUAUUGCAGGGAGAGGAAUUGCUGAAAGCCAUUUCCCGUGUUUGGAGGGUCCAGUCUGUCCCUCUCAAAUGCUGGUGCUUUCACACACUCUCACUUCUUUCCUGCCAACAUAUUCUGAUCUCAGGGAUGCUGGGGGCCGCUGAAUGAGAGUCAGUGAUGGCAGACAUUAUGGCUUAGCCUCCUGUAAUCAGAGUCCAAACUACAUCUGCAUCAAGGUUUAGAUACUUCAGGUGUUCAAAGGAACCAGGAUGAAUGAUGUAUAAUGAAUAAGUGUAAUACUAAAUGAUACGUGUUUGUGGCCACAGAAUUUUCAAAGAGAAGCAGUCUUUUGUAAGUGUAAGGCUAGGCAGACAGUGUGCUGGGCAGUAGGAACAUACCCCAGGGAGUAGGGAGCAGCAUGAGGAAGACUUAGAGGUUGAGGUGAGCGAAAGCUCCUGUCCCACCGAGGAGACAGAUGUACAGGCCAGUAGUGAUAGCAGGGAGGGAUAGACUUUUUGAUUGUUCUCUAGUAUUGAGGUUCCUUUUUCAUUUGGUGUGAAAAAAACCUGGCAGCUCAUAUCUAAUGGAUUGGGUACAUUCUCAUUGAUGUCAGCAUAAAGAAAAAUGGGGUAACCAUUUAGCCAUUGGAAACCAAACACUUGGGGUAGGGAUAAGGAUGUAGCUAGUGUAGAGCACUUGCCUAGUAUAUGUGAGAUCCUGGGUUCCAUCUCUAUCCACCACCAAAAGAAAACAAAAAAAGAAAAAGCACUUCAUUAACCUCCCCUUUCUGUGGCCCUCUCCUCACUCUAGGGAUGCUUCCUUGGAUCUGGAGAUUGUGGAAGGAAGGCCCAAGGGAUGGAGGCACUGACCCUCUCAGGAUGGUGACAUGGGGUGCCAGCUCUCUUUAUGUUGAUUUAUUGUCAAGAAGCCAAGUCAACCUGUGUUUCUGAGAUUGAGAUAGAAGUUCCAAGCCGCUGGGCUGGACUAACUUUCUCUUGGUCUGUGGUGUUGAUUGUGGACACUGGCACAGCAGAAAGUGAAGUGUGAUGUUGCCACGUGACACAUUGCCAGACCUUGCCACUGUUGCCUCAGCACAACGUGGAAACUUUUACUCUGUACGAUCAGGGCAAGGAAAGCCCUGGAUUCUGGGGACUUGGGGUUCAUAGGUGGAAACCCUUCAGCUGGCUCUGCCUCUCCUCAGCAGUGCCACGGAUCCCUGGACGGGAAGACUGGUCUCCAUCUCAUGUGUGGCCAGCUUCUGUGUCUUCUUUCCUAUUCCUGUUUUAACUGUUUAGAUCUAAAAAAAUGCUAAUGACGUUUUCUAUGCUGUGUCCUUGUCCUUUUACCUCAAUAAAUUUUGAAAUAUGCC
rnacentral:lncRNA from 1 species